rnacentral:rRNA from 1 species
GACGAACGCUGGCGGCGUGCCUAAUACAUGCAAGUAGAACGCUGAAGGAGGACCUUGCUUCUCUGGAUGAGUUGCGAACGGGUGAGUAACGCGUAGGUAACCUGCCUGGUAGCGGGGGAUAACUAUUGGAAACGAUAGCUAAUACCGCAUAAUAGUAGAUGUUGCAUGACAUUUGCUUAAAAGGUGCAAUUGCAUCACUACCAGAUGGACCUGCGUUGUAUUAGCUAGUUGGUGUGGUAACGGCUCACCAAGGCGACGAUACAUAGCCGACCUGAGAGGGUGAUCGGCCACACUGGGACUGAGACACGGCCCAGACUCCUACGGGAGGCAGCAGUAGGGAAUCUUCGGCAAUGGACGGAAGUCUGACCGAGCAACGCCGCGUGAGUGAAGAAGGUCUUCGGAUCGGAAAGCUCUGUUGUAAGAGAAGAACGAGUGUGAGAGUGGAAUGUUCACACUUUGACGGUAUCUUACCAGAAAGGGACGGCUAACUACGUG